rnacentral:rRNA from 2 species
UGCAAGUCGAGCGGAUGAGUGGAGCUUGCUCCAUGAUUCAGCGGCGGACGGGUGAGUAAUGCCUAGGAAUCUGCCUGGUAGUGGGGGACAACGUUUCGAAAGGAACGCUAAUACCGCAUACGUCCUACGGGAGAAAGUGGGGGAUCUUCGGACCUCACGCUAUCAGAUGAGCCUAGGUCGGAUUAGCUAGUUGGUGAGGUAAAGGCUCACCAAGGCGACGAUCCGUAACUGGUCUGAGAGGAUGAUCAGUCACACUGGAACUGAGACACGGUCCAGACUCCUACGGGAGGCAGCAGUGGGGAAUAUUGGACAAUGGGCGAAAGCCUGAUCCAGCCAUGCCGCGUGUGUGAAGAAGGUCUUCGGAUUGUAAAGCACUUUAAGUUGGGAGGAAGGGCAGUAAGUUAAUACCUUGCUGUUUUGACGUUACCAACAGAAUAAGCACCGGCUAACUUCGUGCCAGCAGCCGCGGUAAU